rnacentral:siRNA from 1 species
ACGGUGAACGGCUCAAUUGUACAU